ACUCAUGACAAAAGCAAAACUGGUGGCAAUGUGGUGUCUCAUUCUUGGUUCCAUGGCUUUCUAUGUUACAUUUGCACAUUUGUUACUUUUUUCCACUCAAUUCCAGUGAAACAAAAAUCGAAAUUCUUAAUUUAAGAACUCUAAUCUCGCAAUGAUUUGCAGAGCAAAUACUUGGAUGGUGUCUCAAUGUUGAAUGUCAGGGAAUAUGUCCAGAUGUCCUGAUGGCAAGCGCUGAUCUUUGAUGUAAAGCCAAUAUUAUGGGUGUAUUAAAACAAAGUCCCUAUGGCAGGGCUGCCCCAUCCUGUUCCUGGUGGUCCACUUCAUUGUGUGUUUUCUUUUCUACACUAAUUUGACACCCCUGAUUCUACUAAUUAGCAGGUGAACAAAGCCUCUAGCUGUAGAAUGAGAUGUGCUUUUUUUUAAGGCUUAGAUUGAAAACCAACAGGGCUAGGUUUCCCGGAACAGGAUUCGGAAACCCUAUGGUAAUGCUACAUCUUCCUUUGCCUAAAGCAGGGCUGCCCAACCCUGUUACUGAGGAUCUACCAUCCUGAUUGAAAUGAAAACCUAAAGGACAGUGGAUCUCCGGAAACGUGGUUUGGGAGCCCUGACCUGAGGGACAUUGUUUAAAGAGCCCUGGACUCAACCCCAUUCAACACCUUUGGGAUCAAUUGGAAAGUCAGUCUGGAAGCCAGCCUCUCCCAAUCAGUGCCCAACCUCGCUAAUGCUCUUCUGGCUGAAUGGAAGCAAAUCCCAUGCUCUGACAUCUAGUAUAAAGCCUUUCCAGAAGAGUGGAGGUUGUUAUAACAGCAAAGGAUGGACUGACUCCAUAUUAAAGGCCAUAAUUUUGAAUGAGAUGUUGGAUGUCUGGCAUGUCAGGCUAACCAGCUGACGCCAUUUUUCUAAAUGUAAAAAUUUUUUUUUUUUAAUUCAAAUGAUUUUGUUUCCAUUUCACAGCACGAUCAAGAAUAUAGGCCAACAAUUACAUAGGGUGGAGAAUGUUUAAUAGUCCUAGCUUUCACCAAAAUCACAAGUAUGAAAAUACCUUUAAUGUACUGUACUGCACUCGUGUUAAAGUUGGCACUUUGCCAGACUGUCAGAGUCUGGAUCAAGGAAAAUUACGUUAAUAUUUAAAUGAGGCCCUCGGUUAUGUGGGAGGCAGUCUAUAGACCUUUAUGAUGCAUGAACGAGCUCAUUAAAUAAUGAAUGUUACCUCUAAAAUUCGCCUCUUAAAAUGACCACUGUCUGUUACUAAUAAAGUAGAAGAGUAAUAAAAUGGUUAGGGUUCGCAGAAGGCUUGAAACUGUUAGAUUCUGCAUGUGAAGGGGGAAGCGUGUUUGCCUGCACGUGUGUGCACAUAUGUGUAUGCGUGAUCUCUGGGUGUGGUCGACAAGGGUUGGUCCCGCUUUGCCACAAAAAAACUCCUGGAGAUUGUAAGUCCUCGGGCAUUUCCCAUGGGACCUCUGGCACAGCUCCCCUCUCCCGCCAAAAUACAGAAGGUGUACGUGGGUACGGUAGCAAUAAGAGCUAGUGUCAUUUUUUUUUUAAAAGGAUGGGCUAAUUUCUGUAGAGGGAGUGGCAUCUUCCCAGGCAGAUUGGAUGGUAAGGUGUGACUGGAAUGCCUCUUGCAGGUGCAGGCAGGGGAGAGGGUGAGGGGCGGGGGCAGGGUGUGUUAUAGCAUUUCAGCAAUGAGCUGGUAUUGUUCAGUGGCAGCGGCGUUAUGUAAAACGCGUGGUAUUAGCUCCAGGGGUGUGCUUUGUUCCUUUUAUACAGUUCAGAUUAUAUAUUACGCACGGCCACCACCCCAGAUUUUCCCUCCAGUUAAAAAUGAAAGCAUAAAGGCAUGUAUAAGAAAGCCGUAGGCAUACAUGCAACAGAGUUACAGACCGGCUGGUUUGUCAAAAAAUGGUAUAAACCUGAACGUACCAUUUGCAAUUAUGCUUUUAAGGCACCUUAUUAUUAAACACAUAGAUUACCAUUCCUAUCAUCACUGAUACAAAAAGCAUGGA